AGCGUACCAUAACAAAUGAACAACUCUUACAAAUAAAGUACAACGGCUUAACUUGUGAUUGUCUUUAUUAAGACAUCCUAUAUCAAACUUCAGCCAGAACACCCAGCCAGAACACCCAGCCAGAACACCCAGCCAGACCACCCAGCCAGACCACCCAGCCAGACCACCCAGCCAGAACACCCAGCCAGACCACCCAGCCAGACCACCCAGCCAGACCACCCAGCCAGACCACCCAGCCAGAACACCCAGCCAGAACACCCAGCCAGACCACCCAGCCAGAACACCCAGCCAGAACACCCAGCCAGACCACCCAGCCAGAACACCCAGCCAGAACACCCAGCCAGAACACCCAGCCAGCCCGAGCUGCUUGCAUGCCCACCAACCACCAGUCUAGUCAAUAACUGGCAAGUGUCUUCACUGACAUUUUCAAGCUGUACCUGGCUGAGUCUGUAUUACCUAUAUGUUUCAAGCAGACCACCAUAGUCCCUGUGCCCAAGAACACCAUGGUAACCUGCCUAAAUGACUGCUGACUCUGUAGCCAUGAAGUGCUUUGAGAAACCCUUAGACCCACUCCAAUUUGCAUAUCGCCCAAACAGAUACACAGAUGAUGCAGUCUCUAUUGCACUCAACACUGCCCUUUCUCACCUGGACAAAAAGAACACCUAUGUGAGAAUGCUAUUCAUUGACUACAGCUCAGCGUUCAACACCAUAGUGCACUCAAAGCUCAUCACCAAGUUAAGGACCCUGGGACUAAACACCUCCCUCUUCAACUAGAUCCUGGAGUUCCUGACGGGCCGCACCCAGGUGGUAAAGGUAGACAACAACACAUCUGCCACACUGAUUCUCAACACAGGAGUCCCUCAGGGGUGCGUGCUUAGUCACCUCCUGUACUCCCUGUUCACCCAUGACUGCAUGGCCAAGACUCCAACACCAUCAUUAAGUUUGCCGACGACACAGCGGCGGUAUGCCUGAUCACAGACAAUGAUGAGACAGCCUACAGGGAGGAGGUUAGAGACCUGUCAGUGUGGUGCCAGGACAACAAUCUCUCCCUCAACGUGAUCAAGACAAAGGAGAUGAUUGUGAACUACAGGAAAAGGAGGGCUGAGUACGUUUCACGGCAAAGGAGUGUGCGUCAGAGUGUACAGAUGCCAAAGAGACGUCAUCUGCUAAAGUAGAUGAGGAGGGCCUUGAGAUAGCAGUUUCCCGACACGGUGUGCUCCUCAAGGCCCUCAACAUGUGCUGAGAAGGAGCUGUCUUCUGCUGGCACGGUGGGAGCUGUCUUCUGCUGGCACGGUGGGAGCUGUCUUCUGCUGGCACGGUGGGAGCUGUCUUCUGCUGGCACGGUGGGAGCUCUCUUAUGCUGGCACUGUGGGAGCUGUCUUCUGCUGGCACGGUGGGAGCUGUCUUCUGCUGGCACGGUGGGAGCUGUCUUCUGCUGGCACGGUGGGAGCUGUCUUCUGCUGGCACGGUGGGAGCUGUCUUCUGCUGGCACGGUGGGAGCUGUCUUCUGCUGGCACGGUGGGAGCUGUCUUCUGCUGGCACGGUGGGAGCUGUCUUCUGCUGGCACGGUGGGAGCUGUCUUCUGCUGGCACGCUCUAAUCGGGAGGCCGCAAUCAGUCUGGUGCCGGUAACACAACCGGAUAGGAAGUCGAGCAGGUGAAUAGUUUUAUAUCCAGAGCUGCUGUCACGACAAAGUAUAUGUCCAAGGCUGAAUGUCAAAAGGCUGAAGGAGGAGACCGGCCUCCUGGACAUCAAUGAUGCUGACCUUAAGGAGUGGGUUGCUGAGGUGCAGCAGGGGCCUGAAAACGGUAACAAGAGGGGGCAUCAGAUUCUGAGAAAUUGUUGAGGACAAGGCAGCCUUGACAGCUGACAUUGUUCAACUUCACAAGCAGCAGGCAGAGUUUAGGCUCCCCACAGUGGCGGCUCAAUACUGUGGCCAUGGGAGAGACUUGGCACCAGCAAUCUUGGGCAGACUGAUGUUGGUGGACAGACUGCAGGAGGAAGAGAGGAUCCUGGUGCAGGAGAUGAAGAAGCACUGGGGGUGCCUACAAAGAGCAGCAGGAACUAUAGAGGCACUGUCCCUACAGCUGCAAUAUCAGAGCAAUGCAGUGGAGAUGUCAGAGGGGGGGAGGCAUCUCUGCCUCCUGAAGAGAAGAUUGAGUGAACUGACACAAGACACCAGGAACACCUACCACAAGCUGAUUCUGGGAGAAAGGGCUAUUUUUGAUGACUCUGAUGUAGAUUAAAACUCAGAUAGAAGUCCUAUUUCUAAAAGUCCUAUUGCUGAGAGCUCAGAUGACAACUGCUAUGCUUUCUGAAAUCAUACACCACCCCUACCUCUGUCUCUCUGUCUCGCUCUCUCCCGCAGGAGAGGGAGAAAGCAGCCACCACCUCCCUCGGGAGCAGCCUGGUCUUCCGACAUUGACCCCUGAUCCCUCACCUUCUGAACCCAUCCAGGGGAAUGUCAUUUGCCUGAUGAUGUGCUAGUGGAGAAGGAAUGUGUCAUUUCAGUGCAUUUGUGGCCAUAGUUCCUCACCUCCUCGACUCCGUUUCUUCCGGUCCUAGAGGAUGGCGACAUCAUUAGCAACUCAGAAUGUCGGUUGAGGACCUCUUUACUGAGGAAUGUGGUUGAUCUUCAUGAUUGUUUUAUUUAACAUUUCUUAGAGUAUUUUCUAUGCAGCUGUGACUGUGAUUUUGUGGAGUGAGUUGCAAAAGAGUCCUUGGUCUCAAUGGAACUGUAAAAAUAAAUAAAUAAAUGCAUUAACCACUAA